UGGGGAAUCUUGGACAAUGGGCGCAAGCCUGAUCCAGCCAUGCCGCGUGAGUGACGAAGGCCUUAGGGUUGUAAAGCUCUUUUGGCGGGGACGAUAAUGACGGUACCCGCAGAAUAAGCCCCGGCUAACUUCGUGCCAGCAGCCGCGGUAAUACGAAGGGGGCUAGCGUUGUUCGGAAUUACUGGGCGUAAAGCGCACGUAGGCGGAUUUGUCAGUCAGGGGUGAAAUCCCGAGGCUCAACCUCGGAACUGCCUCCGAUACAGCAAGUCUCGAGUCCGGAAGAGGUGAGUGGAAUUCCUAGUGUAGAGGUGAAAUUCGUAGAUAUUAGGAAGAACACCAGUGGCGAAGGCGGCUCACUGGUCCGGUACUGACGCUGAGGUGCGAAAGCGUGGGGAGCAAACAGGAUUAGAUACCCGCGUAGUCCCUGAGCGGGCUGGCAAGGCGCAU
rnacentral:rRNA from 1 species